GUGUGCAAGAACUGUCUACUGUACAAACAUUGACAAGAAGAUUACUCAGGAAGAGCUGAGACUCUUUUUUGGAUCAAUAUGUGGAGAGGUCUAUCGCAUGAGAAUGCUCGGGGACUAUCAGCAUAAAACUCGCAUUGCAUUCGUUGAGUUUGUAAUGGUCAGCAUUUCUUGCUCUAUG